rnacentral:rRNA from 1 species
CCUACGGGAGGCAGCAGUGAGGAAUAUUGGUCAAUGGCCGGGAGGCUGAACCAGCCAAGUCGCGUGAGGGAAGACGGCCCUACGGGUUGUAAACCUCUUUUGUCAGGGAGCAAGGUUCAGGUCGGGACCUGCUGUGAGAGUACCUGAUGAAUAAGCAUCGGCUAACUCCGUGCCAGCAGCCGCGGUAAUACGGAGGAUCCGAGCGUUAUCCGGAUUUAUUGGGUUUAAAGGGUGCGAAGGCGGAGGCUAAAGUCAGCGGUAAAGUGGCGGGGCGAAACCGAGAUGUGCCGUUGAUACUGUGUGUCUUGAGUGCGCGAAGGGUAGGCGGAAUGCGUGGUGUAGCGGUGAAAUGCAUAGAUAUCACGCAGAACUCCGAUUGCGAAGGCAGCCUACCGGCGCGCAACUGACGCUGAUGCACGAAAGCGUGGGUAUCGAACAGGAUUAGAUACCCGGGUAGUC